CCCUUAGAUGUUCUGGGCCGCACGCGCGCUACACUGACGAAUUCAACGAGUUUAUAACCUUUGCUGGGAGGCAUGGGUAAUCUUGUAAACGUUCGUCGUGAUGGGGAUAGAUUAUUGCAAUUGUUAAUCUUCAACGAGGAAUUCCUAGUAAACGCAAGUCAUCAGCUUGCAUUGAUUACGUCCCUGCCCUUUGUACACACCGCCCGUCGCACCUACCGAUUGAAUGGUCCGGUGAAUUCUUCGGACUGCGGCUUUGACUCGAUUUCGGUCGAGGCGUUGCUGCGGGAAGUUGAUUAAACCUUACCAUUUAGAGGAAGGUGAANUCGUANCA
rnacentral:rRNA from 1 species